GGAUUGUAGCUCAGUGGUAGAGCACUCGCCUAGCAUAUGCGAGGCCUGGGUUCAAUCCUCAACACCA
rnacentral:tRNA from 1 species